rnacentral:misc_RNA from 1 species
GAAAACCGUAAGUGGGAUAAAUUUUCUCUUCGCCAAUGUUAGCCAAAUGCCAUAAAACCUUAACUGAGAUUAAUCGUUUCUCAAUUUCUAAACACUCCAUAGCUAACCAAUUAAAGCAUUGCUCUAAGAUGGAGGAGCUGGAAUGUGUGUAUGCUUCCAUGAUCAAAACCAAUACAAGUCAAGAUUGUUUCUUGAUGAACCAAUUUAUCACCGCUUGUUCCACUCUUGGCCAUGUAGAUUUUGCAGUUUUAGCCUAUACCCAAAUGGAAAAUCAUAAUGUUUUUGUCUAUAAUGCGAUGAUUAGAGGAUUUGUUCAAUGCUAUUAUCCGAUUCAAGCCCUUGAAUUUUAUAUAGACAUGCUGAGAGUUCAAGUGUUGCCUACAAGUUACACAUUUUCAUCUUUAAUUAAAGCUUGCAGUUUAGCAUCCGUAGUGAGGUUUGGAGAAGCUGUUCAUGGUCACGUUUGGAGACAUGGGUUUGACUCACAUGUGUUUGUUCAAACUUCUUUGGUUGAUUUUUAUUCGCGCGUGGGCAGAAUUACUGAAUCCAAAAGGGUGUUUGAUGAAAUGCCUCACAGAGAUGUCUUUGCUUGGACUACCAUUGUUUCUAGUCUUGCACGGUUUGGAGAUUUGAGUUCUGCGAGGAGAUUGUUUGAUAGGAUGCCGGAAAAGAACACAGCUACUUGGAAUACUUUGAUUGAUGGGUAUGCAAGAUUGAAAGAUUUAGAUUCGGCUGAAUUUCUGUUUAAUCAAAUGCCUGCAAGGGAUAUUAUUUCGUGGACAACAAUGAUCGAUUGUUAUUCUCAGAAUAGAAGAUUUAAAGAAGCAUUGGUUGUUUUUAAUGAGAUGAUAAAAGAUGGGAUUAGCCCGGAUGAAGUGACCAUGGCAACUGUGAUUUCAGCAUGUGCUCAUUUGGGAGCCCUUGACUUGGGGAAAGAAAUACAUCUU